rnacentral:rRNA from 1 species
UUAAGUUAGAAAGGGCGCACGGCGGAUGCCUUGGCACUAGGAGCCGAUGAAGGACGGUACAAACACCGAUAUGCUCCGGGGAGCUGUACGUAAGCUUUGAUCCGGAGAUUUCCGAAUGGGGAAACCCCCUGUCUUUAAUCGGACAGGAUUCCUGCCUGAAUCCAUAGGGCAGGAAGGGCACACCCGGGGAACUGAAACAUCUCAGUACCCGGAGGAAGAGAAAGCAAUUGCGAUUUCCCAAGUAGCGGCGAGCGAACAGGAAACAGCCCAAACCGGAAGGCUUGCCUUCCGGGGUUGUAGGACACUCAUAUGGGAGUUACAAAAGAACAGGUUAAGUGAAGCGGCCUGGAAAGGCCUGCCGGAGAAGGUAAAAGCCCUGUAACUGACACUUCGUUCUCUCCCGAGUGGAUCCUGAGUACGGCGGGACACGAGGAAUCCCGCCGGAAUCCGGGAGGACCAUCUCCCAAGGCUAAAUACUCCCUAGUGACCGAUAGUGAACCAGUACCGUGAGGGAAAGGUGAAAAGCACCCCGGGAGGGGAGUGAAAGAGAUCCUGAAACCGUGUGCCUACAAGUAGUCAGAGCCCGUUAACGGGUGAUGGCGUGCCUUUUGUAGAAUGAACCGGCGAGUUACGGUCUCAUGCAAGGUUAAGCUGAAGAAGCGGAGCCGCAGCGAAAGCGAGUCUGAACAGGGCGAAAGAGUAUGAGGCCGCAGACCCGAAACCAGGUGAUCUACCCAUGUCCAGGGUGAAGGCAAGGUAACACUUGCUGGAGGCCCGAACCCACGCACGUUGAAAAGUGCGGGGAUGAGGUGUGGGUAGCGGAGAAAUUCCAAUCGAACUUGGAGAUAGCUGGUUCUCUCCGAAAUAGCUUUAGGGCUAGCCUCAAGCGAAGAGUUUUGGAGGUAGAGCACUGUUUGGACGAGGGGCCCUCAUCGGGUUACCGAAUUCAGACAAACUCCGAAUGCCAAAAACUUAUGCUUGGGAGUCAGACUGUGAGUGAUAAGAUCCAUGGUCGAAAGGGAAACAGCCCAGACCGCCAGCUAAGGUCCCAAAGUAUACGUUAAGUGGAAAAGGAUGUGGCGUUGCUUAGACAACCAGGAUGUUGGCUUAGAAGCAGCCAUCAUUCAAAGAGUGCGUAAUAGCUCACUGGUCGAGUGACGCUGCGCCGAAAAUGUACCGGGGCUAAACGUAUCACCGAAGCUGCGGAUGGACACCGUAUGGUGUCCGUGGUAGGAGAGCGUUCUAAGGGCGUUGAAGCCGGACCGGAAGGACCGGUGGAGCGCUUAGAAGUGAGAAUGCCGGUAUGAGUAGCGAAAGAAGGGUGAGAAUCCCUUCCACCGAAUGCCUAAGGUUUCCUGAGGAAGGCUCGUCCGCUCAGGGUUAGUCGGGGCCUAAGCCGAGGCCGAAAGGCGUAGGCGAUGGACAACAGGUUGAUAUUCCUGUACCGCCUCUUCACCGUUUGAACGAUGGGGGGACGCAGGAGGAUAGGGCAAGCGCGACACUGGUUGAUCGCGUCCAAGCAGUUAGGCCGGUGCGGAGGCAAAUCCUUCGCGCCAAGGCGGAGCUGUGAUGGCGAGGGAAAUUUUAGUACCGAAGUUCCUGAUUCCACACUGCCAAGAAAAGCCUCUAGUGAGGUGAAAGGCGCCCGUACCGCAAACCGACACAGGUAGGCGAGGAGAGAAUCCUAAGGUGAGCGAGAGAACUCUCGUUAAGGAACUCGGCAAAAUGACCCCGUAACUUCGGGAGAAGGGGUGCUUUUUGGGGUGUAUGCCCCGGGAAGCCGCAGUGAAUAGGCCCAGGCGACUGUUUAGCAAAAACACAGGUCUCUGCGAAGCCGCAAGGCGAAGUAUAGGGGCUGACACCUGCCCGGUGCUGGAAGGUUAAGGAGAGGGGUUAGCCGUAAGGCGAAGCUCUGAACUGAAGCCCCAGUAAACGGCGGCCGUAACUAUAACGGUCCUAAGGUAGCGAAAUUCCUUGUCGGGUAAGUUCCGACC